GGUUACCGACCGCGACACCCAUGCAAAGGACUUUCUUCAGUUGAAACUUGACUGUAGCCUUCGUCUCAUUCACCUUGGAUUCCAGGGAUUCCUGGUGAGUGACCAGAGUGGGGAACUUGCCUGCAGGAGUGAUAUCAACAUGAUUCAAUCAGCUGGGCAGGCAAAGCAGACCACAUAUAGCAAAAGCUCUCAAGAUGAACAGCUCCAAGAGUAUGUCAUCAAGCAACUAAUAAAACAGUUCAAUACAAACACAAUGACAGGACAUUGCCUUGCAACAAGUACCAAAUUAGUCAUUAUCAUGCAAAACUACAUACAGAAAUAUGAGACAACACUACAUUGCAUGCUACAGCUUGGCACGCAAAGUAACAGUCAUGUCAGAAACGGACUACUUGCCUGCCUUGUUGAGACCAG
rnacentral:misc_RNA from 1 species